AACGAACGCUGGCGGCAGGCUUAACACAUGCAAGUCGAGCGCCCCGCAAGGGGAGCGGCAGACGGGUGAGUAACGCGUGGGAACGUACCCUUCGGUUCGGAAUAACUCAGGGAAACUUGGGCUAAUACCGGAUACGUCCGUGAGGAGAAAGAUUUAUCGCCGAAGGAUCGGCCCGCGUUGGAUUAGCUAGUUGGUGGGGUAAUGGCCUACCAAGCCGACGAUCCAUAGCUGGUUUGAGAGGAUGAUCAGCCACACUGGGACUGAGACACGGCCCAGACUCCUACGGGAGGCAGCAGUGGGGAAUCUUAGACAAUGGGCGCAAGCCUGAUCUAGCCAUGCCGCGUGAGCGAUGAAGGCCUUAGGGUUGUAAAGCUCUUUCAGUGGGGAAGAUAAUGACUGUACCCACAGAAGAAGCCCCGGCUAACUCCGUG
rnacentral:rRNA from 1 species